rnacentral:tmRNA from 1 species
GGGGCUGACUUGGAUUUCGACAGAUUUCUUGUCGCGCAGAUAGCAUGCCAAGCGCUGCUUGUAAAACAGCAACAAAAAUAACUGUAAACAACGCAGAUUACGCUCCAGCUUACGCUAAAGCUGCGUGAGUUAAUCUCCUUUUGGAGCUGGACUGAUUGAAAUUUCUAGCGUUUUAAUCACUCCAUAACCUUAAGCUAGACGCUUUUAAAAGGUGGUUCGCCUUUUAAACUAAGAAACAAGAACUCUUGAAACUACCUCAAGGUUUUAGAAAGUUGGACCAGAGCUAGUUUUAAGGCUAAAAAACUAACCAAUUUUCUAAGCAUUGUAGAAGUUUGUGUUUAGGGCAAGAUUUUUGGACUGGGGUUCGAUUCCCCACAGCUCCACCA